GUCUACAGCCAUACCACCCUGAACACGCCAGAUCUAGUCUGAUCUCGGAAGCUAAGCAGGGUUGGGCCUGGUUAGUACUUGGAUGAGAGACGAUACUCAAGAACCUGGGCUCAAAACC
ensembl:rRNA 5S_rRNA 5S ribosomal RNA